rnacentral:misc_RNA from 1 species
CCUCUGAUGGCAAAUCUAUGUAUGUGCCAACUCGCUCUACAGCAUUUAAACUAUUCUCAGCCAAACUUGCAAGUCUUAGUACACCGGUCAGUAAACCAGUAAUAUUUAAGGCAUAGCUGAGAAGUAGACCCAUUGUAGAUGCAAAUGCCUGUUGGUUCUCUGCCCUUCCAUUCUGCAUCACAGCAAAGGUUGCUGUAAGCCAAAUCAUAAUGCCUCCCAAUGUUUCCAGACGGAUAGCAAGCCAACGAUUUGCACUCAUGUUGACAAGGGUGAAUCUGAUACUGUUGUCCAUAGAUCUACCAUUGAUGUCGGCCAUCCGAUCAUAAGCUUUGUAUGCACGAAUAGUUGACAGACCGUUUAGAGCUUCUCCAAAUUGUGCAUAAACAGGUGAUCUACUUAUAGAAUCCAAGCGCUUUACUUCGCGGGCUGUGCUCUGAUAAUAUAGAUAGGCUCCAUAAAACAGAACUAAAAGCGGCAUUAUGGCCCACAAUGACAUAGUGCUCACAAUUCCAAUGAGGAUAAAUGUAGAAAGGAGCUGUGACACUUGACCCAGAAACAUAUUCACAAAUGGGGCAACAUUCCUAUCAAUGUCACCAAGAUCCUUUGCAAACCUAUUGAUAAUGCGUCCAAGUGGAUUGGUGUGAAAGAAGACCAUUGGAGCUCUCAAUAUGGAAUUAAGCAUAGCAUCAUGCAACCUUCUGGCAGCAUAAAGACUUGAAAUGAUCAACCAAUAUGAAUUUAAUAAUGUCACCAUAACCUGACCAAAUGAUAGAAGGGAGUAUAUAAGAUUGUAGUAAAGGGGCCCAUGGAUCUUUGUAGUGCCUUGAUCUGUCCAAUUACUUAACCAAGUACUACUGGAAACUCGCAAAACUUCUGUAAGGACAUAGCACAUAAAGAGUAUCAAUACCACCCAGGCACCUCCUAAUGCAUUCUUGUACCUCAUCAAAACAUUCCAACUGACAACACCUGUUUCCCGUUCUUCCUGCUUGAUAAGAAUAGACUUGCCUUCCUUUCGUUUUUUGGUCUCCGUUGCAUUCUUACGCAAGUCAUUCAUUGCCCCAUUAGCAACAGGUUUUGAAGAGGUUUUAAGAUCAAAAGUUUCACCAUUUUCCUUUUCUUCCACAUACUCUUCCAUUUUUCCUGCAUUUUCCAUCAGCUUUUGGAACAGCAUGCCAUUGUUGGAGAGCUCCUCAAAGGUUCCCUCCUCUUUCACCAUACCCUCAUGGACCAGCAUAAUUCUAUCAACUUGAGAAAGAAAAUGGAGCUGGUUUGUGACAAGAACUCUCGUUUUCGCACUCAAUUCUCCCUUGAUACAUUUAUCAAAAACCUGUCGAGCUACAUGAGCAUCGAGAGCACUUAAGGGAUCAUCAAAAAUGUAUACAUCUGAAUUGGAAUACACAGCCCUAGCCAUGGAAACUCUUUGUUUUUGCCCACCACUAAUAUUCACCCCUCUUUCGCCAAUCUCAGUGAGAUCACCACCAGGCAAUAAGUCAAGGUCAUGCUGCAAUGAAGUCACAUCUAUUGCCUUCUCAUAUCUUACUGAAUCAAAGGGAGAUCCAAAAAGUAUGUUGUCCCGUACAGUUGCAUUAAAAAUCCAUGAAACUUGUGGAACAUAAGCAACUGUUCCCCUAAUAACAGCACUUGCAUCUGAUAUCGCAGGAAGCUCCCCAAGCAUUGCUGAAAUUAAUGAGGUCUUUCCCUCUCCAGUACUACCAACAAUUGCCACUAGGCUACCAAUAGGUAUGUCCACAUUGAUGUUUGAUAAUGUAGGCCUCUCUGCCUUUGAAUCCCAAGAGAAGUAUCCAUUUUUUAUUGAGAUGGCGGGUUGUCCUGUCUCAAGAGGAGGGUUUGGUAGAAGGAUCCUCUCUUCAGCCAGAAGUAGUUCCUCCAAACGCUUUAGGGAUACAUUUGCAUUCACUACCUGGGUAAUAAUAUUAGGAAGCAUAAAGAGGGGAAAGCGAAGCACGGCAAACAGGGAAAGUGAUGUAAAUGCCCUUGCAGGUGUCAGAUCUCCCCCAAGCAAAGUGAACAUACCAAAUGAAAUCACAGUGACCACCACAGGGAUGCUGUUUAGUAUAAAACCAUUACACGCUCCCAGUAGUGAUGCUUUUCGGAACCAUGACAAUUCAUCAUCACGAACAGUUUGAACUUUAGCCUGGAAACUGUUCUCCCAUGCAUAACACUUCACAGCGUCCAUUGCAGCCAAAAUUUCAUUCAUAAGGCCAAUCCUCUUGUCAGUGCGCUGCAAGCCCUCCUUUGACAAUUUCUGCAUUCUGCUUAUAACAAAUGUCUGUAUGGGAAAGAGGAGUACUAGUAUUACUGCACCAAGAAGUGAUGCAACGCCCAACUGCUGAAAAAGCAAAACCAUUGCAAUGAUAAUACGAAACGGAGCUGACCACAGAGUGUGAAGGGAUUGGCAUACUUGCUGAAGUGCUUCAGCAUCAGUGGUCAUCAAGUUCGUUAUUUUUCCAGAUGCAAACUUUCGCCGACUCUCAUGAGUUAGCCUUAGAGAUUUCCGAAAUACAGCAGCAAUCAAAGUUGAUCUCAGCCGGUAACCAAUACGCAUGACAUUCUGAAAAUACUGAGCUUCAAAUAACACACCCAAUACCACCCCAGCAAAAAUUGAGAAAGCAUAGAUGUAUCCAAUCCACGCUGGAUCACCUUCUUGCAUAGACUGUAGGAGUUGGUUCAAUAGAAGUGGCCCCACAAAUUGGGAAACAUCAUUGCCAAUCUUCCAAAAGCCUCCCCACCAAAACCUUCCUCCGAGGCUACUAUUUAAUGCUCUUAAAAGCCAUGGAUUAGGCCUUCGUGAUUCCUCAGCCCAACAUUUCUGGAACCUGUCGUUCAGUGUUUCAGUCCGAUCCCACAUGUCUAGUUUCCAAAUAUCCUUCUCAGUGAGAGGCCUUUUGUAUCCUAGCUUCAUUAUAGGAUUCAUCCAUGCAAAAAUAGUUUUGGAAAAUAUGUUGACAUGCUGCUCAGGACAUACGUACUCUCCUCCAGGAAGUUCUUGAUAGUCAACAUCAUCAACAUAUUCAGACCGUAAGGGAGUGUAAUCAGGGUAAGAAUCCAAGUCAGGAACGUACACAAGCAGAAGUAUUCCAAAUAAAACCUGAACAAAGACCUCACUGAUGUAUAAAUACAGAACGGAACUAUUGUAGAACUCUUUCACUGCAAGAAUAAGAUUGAACAUUACUGCAUCUCCCACCAAAGUGUAAAGAACCCCAAAUCUAACAAACCAUCGAAAUUCACGAAUGUAGACUUUGGUUUCCACACUGAUCAUGACAAGCACAGAGCACCAAGCAAGAGCCUCAAUAAUCAAGGAAACAAUCUCAUAAGGAGCAAGUUCCUUCUGCCCAUCUAUGUUCAGAGUUGAAAUUCCCAUGAUCAAUCUGAACAAAGGCUCUGCGGUAGAAUAACCAGCUAGUAGCCCCAAGAAAUAGUUAUACCGUUUCGAUCUCAAACAGAAUCGCUGGAUCUUGAAAUCUUUCUUAGUGAGCCAUAUUCGAUAAAAGCAAAGAGCCAUGAGAACCAAGUGAGAAAUAACCACCACCAGAGUGUCUGUGGCACAAGGUGUAUAGGCGCCAAAGGCAUUUUCCACUGCCCUUGUCCAGAGUCCAUUAGCCACUGGCCGGCAAUACCAAACCAAAGGCUCAAAGGCCAUCUUUUUAUCACUUUCCGACCACUAUUCUUCACCGCGUAAAUGCAUAAUCAACAGCAAAUUAAUUCUCGUAUUCGCUAUGAGAGGUGUGAAUGGGAAUCAAAAAGCAAAGUCUUAGCGUGGAGAAAUCAGAGAAAAACUACCAAACAAGAAACAAGGAGUUCUGGUUUCUCUGGAGAAAGAGGCCAAACAGAAAUGACUGAUUGUAUCUAAAUUGAGGGCCCAGAAAUGAGACUUCACAGAGGCGGGCGUCUCGGAUCUCUCCAGUAAUCGGCAGCUCAGAAAGGGUAUUAUUGUCUUUCCCUAUUGCCGGCGGGAUUGGAGAAGGGAUAAGAGAGAUGUAAGUGAUUAAUAAAAAAAUUUUAUAAAAUGUGGAACUUUUUCUUGAAAGAAAAAAGAUAAAUUUUUUAAUUUUUA